rnacentral:rRNA from 2 species
CGAACGGAAGUUUAAGCAAUUAAACUUUAGUGGCGAACGGGUGAGUAACGCGUAAGCAAUCUGCCCCUAAGACGAGGAUAACAGUUGGAAACGACUGCUAAGACUGGAUAGGAGACAAGAAGGCAUCUUCUUGUUUUUAAAAGACCUAGCAAUAGGUAUGCUUAGGGAGGAGCUUGCGUCACAUUAGUUAGUUGGUGGGGUAAAGGCCUACCAAGACUAUGAUGUGUAGCCGGGCUGAGAGGUUGAACGGCCACAUUGGGACUGAGACACGGCCCAAACUCCUACGGGAGGCAGCAGUAGGGAAUUUUCGGCAAUGGAGGAAACUCUGACCGAGCAACGCCGCGUGAACGAUGAAGUAUUUCGGUACGUAAAGUUCUUUUAUUAGGGAAGAAUAAAUGAUGGAAAAAUCAUUCUGACGGUACCUAAUGAAUAAGCCCCGGCUAACUAUGUGCCAGCAGCCGCGGUAAUACAUAGGGGGCAAGCGUUAUCCGGAAUUAUUGGGCGUAAAGGGUGCGUAGGCGGUUAAAUAAGUUUAUGGUCUAAGUGCAAUGCUCAACAUUGUGAUGCUAUAAAAACUGUUUAGCUAGAGUAAGAUAGAGGCAAGUGGAAUUCCAUGUGUAGUGGUAAAAUGCGUAAAUAUAUGGAGGAACACCAGUAGCGAAGGCGGCUUGCUGGGUCUUUACUGACGCUGAGGCACGAAAGCGUGGGGAGCAAACAGGAUUAGAUACCCUGGUAGUCCACGCCGUAAACGAUGAGUACUAAACGUUGGGUAAAACCAGUGUUGAAGUUAACACAUUAAGUACUCCGCCUGAGUAGUACGUACGCAAGUAUGAAACUUAAAGGAAUUGACGGGACUCCGCACAAGCGGUGGAUCAUGUUGUUUAAUUCGAAGGUACCCGAAAAACCUCACCAGGUCUUGACAUGCUUCUGCAAAGCUGUAGAAACACAGUGGAGGUUAUCAGUUGCACAGGUGGUGCAUGGUUGUCGUCAGCUCGUGUCGUGAGAUGUUGGGUUAAGUCCCGCAACGAGCGCAACCCUUAUUGUUAGUUACCAGCACGUAAUGGUGGGGACUUUAGCAAGACUGCCAGUGAUAAAUUGGAGGAAGGUGGGGACGACGUCAAAUCAUCAUGCCCCUUAUGACCUGGGCUACAAACGUGAUACAAUGGCUGUUACAAAGGGUAGCUGAAGCGCAAGUUUUUGGCGAAUCUCAAAAAAACAGUCUCAGUUCGGAUUGAAGUCUGCAACUCGACUUCAUGAAGUUGGAAUCGCUAGUAAUCGCGAAUCAGCAUGUCGCGGUGAAUACGUUCUCGGGGUUUGUACACACCGCCCGUCAAACCACGAAAGUUGGCAAUACCCAAAGCCGGUGGCCUAACUUCGCAAGAAGAGGGAACCGUCUAAGGUAGGGUCGAUGAUUGGGGUUAAG